AAGCCGAAAGGGGGACCUCUUGGGAGGGAGGGCAGGGGGUCCUCCCCACCACCCGGCCUGGACUGGCAGCAGCUCCUCCCUCCAUAAUCACCAUCUCCCUGGCAUUUCUUGGUUCCUGUCACACCCUCUCACACCUCUGACUGUCCCUUCCUCUUGCACUGCCACACCCAUGGCUCUGGCUUCCACUUUGUAGAGACCCUGCCGUGUAGAGAGGAGAGAGGUUGACAGGCUGCCCUUUAGCCAACUGCCUGUGGUCAUCGUGUGUCACCCACUCGGCCUCAUCAUCUCACCUCCACCCUGGGCCAGGCACUGUCCUUCCCAAGGCAAAGGUCUCCAGGGUCCUAUAUAUAGCUGAUCCCUCCCUGGGAGGCGCUCACUUCUGGAUCCCUCCUGAUGAGGGAAGACUCUGCAGCCAGAGCCUCACUCUCUGGGAGAUGCUGGUGAUCUGGAUCCUGCCCCUGACUCUCUGGGUCUGGGUGCCCGCCACUGCCUCUACCACUGCCACUACCACUGCGACAUCAAGCCCUGGGAGUUCUAGCACCAUUUCUAACUGGCCUGAAUCCACUGCCUCUUCAGAAAGUACCUCCACAACAAGUCCUGGGAGUUAUAGUACCAUUUCUGACCAGCCUGAAUCCACUGUUUCCUCAGAAAGUUCUCCCACCCCAGGCCCUGGGAGUUCUAGCACCGUUUCUGAGAGGUCUGGAUCCACUGACUCUUCAGAAAGUACCUCCACCAAAGGCGCUGGGAGUUCUAGCACCAUCUCUGACCAGCCUGAAUCCACUCUUUCUUCAGAAAGUACCUUCACCGCAGGCCCUGGGAGUUCUAGCACCGUUUCUGGCAGGUCUGAAUCUACCUUCUCUUUAGAAAGUUCUCCCACCACAGGCCCUGGGAGUUCUAGCACCGUUACUGACUGGUCUGAAUCUACCUUCUCCUCAGAAAGUUCUCCCACCACAGGCCCUGGGCGUUCUAGCACCAUUUCUGAAAGGUCUGAAUCUACCUUCUCUUCAGAAAGUUCUCCUACCACAGGCCCUGGGAGUUCUACCGCCAUUUCUGAUUGGUUUAACUACACAUUCUCUUCUGAGGUUUUACUGCCUACAGGCACUGACAUUUCAAUAUCCCCAUCAAGCAUUGGCAAGACAUUAACCAG
rnacentral:lncRNA from 1 species